GAAAAGCCUGAAUGUCCCCUUUGUCGUUCUCCCGUAACACAUUCAAGCUUGGUUUGUCUGUAUCAUUCAGAUUUUUAGUCACGGCUAUUGCCAAAAGAUAUCUACAAAAUAAAUCAUGAAGCACAGGUCUGUUGUGUCAAGAAAAGAUUCAAUAGUCUACUUGACGACGAGAUCCUGUUUUCUUUUCUGUUGCUCACACAUACAGCUCUGGAAGUGCUGUUGAGGUAAACUGGUGGUUGUGAGCCGUGUAAGUAAGGAGAGUUUUGCAACUAAUUUACCACGAGUCGAUGAGAAACUUAGGCGGAUCAUUUUAUCGAAAGCAAGCACGUAACAACUUUACUUGCUUUACACACUGAACAACAAUCAUUAGAUUUUCCUUCACAGGAAUGGAUCAAUUACUGUUAGGUAUGAUCGGUACAUGUGAUGUAAUACAAGAUUUUGCUUGGUAUAUUUUUUCCAGC
rnacentral:misc_RNA from 1 species